UUCACUUGGCUUUCUCUCUGCUCUCUGGCAAUUUUCUUUCCCUCACAGAAAUUUUGAUCUCUCUUCUUCAGAUCUGUUGUGCUUUCCUUUAUUGGCUAUAAAUUCAGAUCUUGUUCUUUGAUAUGUGGCCUGUGGUCUGUGGUGAUUUCAAAUUGUACUUGACUUGUAUCUAAUGUUCCUUUUAGGUAGUUUUUGGGCAUCUUUCAGUCAGUAUUCAAAUGGUAUAAGAACAUUGCUAUACUUUUUGGUUGUAUCUUGGUUGAUUAGGUUUCAUAUGGCAACAUCUUUUAUAGAUAGAUGAUCUAUUGGUUGAGAAGGAGAUCUGAUUGUUGUACUCUAAACUUAAACUCUCUCUUGGGAGGUUCUUGCACAUAGUGACGGACUCUUACCUCUGAGCCCUCUAGAGUAGGCUUUUGCCGAACUGGGUGACUGUUUCUUGCGUUGCUCACUACUAUUUUUGGUUGUUUGUGUUUCGAUUUUCUACAUACUAUUUUCAGUUGGGUGACAAAAUUCCAACAUCUCUAUUGGGCAGCAAUUUUAGGGUUUUGAAUUAGAUGCAUCAUCUUUAUAUUUGUUUAGCACAAUGGGAUAAUAUGCAAUUAAUUCCUUUUCGUGGGCAUGUUGACAUUAUCUGUUCAACAAUUUUUGUGACUUUCCCAUAUAUUGUGUGUGCGAUUAGCAAGUAAACUAUGUCACGUUCAUAACACUUUAGCAUGUUCUCUUACAACUAACUCAUUAAUAAAAACUUUUUGCUGACUUACAUUCUCUAAGAGAUCCCUU
rnacentral:lncRNA from 1 species